UUCAAAUAUUCCGCCAUUUUAGUUACACUGCACUUAUUGAACUUAAUCGAAAGCAGGUGCAACAAAAUCUGCACUAACUUGCACCGGCUGCACUAAAUUGCACUGCACCUGGCCCAACGAACAGUAUGAGUGCAACUGCACUAUCCCCAACGAACACACAACAUCUGCACUAAACUGUAUAGUGCAAGUGAGUGCAAGUAGUGCAGUCCCAACGAACAAAGCUCUAGUAUCGUUUUUUACAUCACGUAGUACACGAAGAACGCAAAUUGACAUCAUUGAAAAUGACAUUUCCCAUAAGGGGACACUCAUACCUAGAGUGUGAUAAGAACAUGGCUCUUGUGAAUCAAAAGAUUAGGGUGGAACAUCCCGAUGAAUGGCUGGAAGUAUUUAAAAAUGCACGGAGGAAGCCAAUUUCCCUUUCAUGUAAUUCCAGUUCAGCAAAAUUUCUUUCGAAGCUGGACCGUUUACUUGGACACUCUUUAUAAAAAAAAAUUACCGUUUAAAUCAAGACCCGUCAGAAUUAUAGAUAUUAAACAGGAAGAUUCUGAUGUUAUACGGUACAAAACUGCCUAUAAUGGUCCUUGGUUCAGUGAAUCACUGAAAACUUCUAAAAGGAAACGUUCUAAACCAUCUCAACAAUUACGUCCAAACGAAUUCUCAUUACCACAGCAUGUAUACGAUCGUCUCCUUCCAAUCUCGGCCGAAAAAUAUCAAAAUUUACAGUUCCUCAAAAGGUUUUGUGGCGAUAAAGCUGCCGAAUAUUUUUAUUCUUCACCACAUAAAUAAGAACAUUUAUUUGUUACAGAUUUCGUUAAUAAAAUUGAUUUUGAUACUUUAAA